AUUAGUGGCGAACGGGUGAGUAACACGUGAGUAACCUGCCCUUAACUCUGGGAUAAGCCUGGGAAACUGGGUCUAAUACCGGAUAUGACUCCUCAUCGCAUGGUGGGGGGUGGAAAGCUUUAUUGUGGUUUUGGAUGGACUCGCGGCCUAUCAGCUUGUUGGUGAGGUAAUGGCUCACCAAGGCGACNACGGGUAGCCGGCCUGAGAGGGUGACCGGCCACACUGGGACUGAGACACGGCCCACACUCCUACGGGAGGCAGCAGUGGGGAAUAUUGCACAAUGGGCGCAAGCCUGAUGCAGCGACCNCCCCGUGAGGGAUGACGGCCUUCGGGUUGUAAACCUCUUUCAGUAGGGAAGAAGCGAAAGUGACGGUACCUGCAAAAGAANCGCCGGCUAACUACGUGCCACAAGCCGCGGUAA
rnacentral:rRNA from 1 species